rnacentral:rRNA from 1 species
UACAGAGACUGCAAGCGUUGUUCGGAAUUACUGGGCGUAAAGGGUUCGUAGGUGGCUUGUUAAGUCAGACGUGAAAUCCCUCGGCUCAACCGGGGAACUGCGUCUGAGACUGAUGAGCUCGAGUGCAGGAGAGGAACGCGGAAUUCCAGGUGUAGCGGUGAAAUGCGUAGAUAUCCUGAGGAACACCGGUGGCGAAAGCGGCGCGCUGGAUCCCUUCUGACGCUGAGGCGCGAAAGCCAGGGAGCAAAGCGGG